UGGACUUCUAGUCUCCAGAACCGAGCAGGGCUCUCUGUGGGGACUGGCGGUGGACCUGUGGGAGAGAGCAUCAUGCCUGGAGGGGCACCCGGGCUGUGUGGGCCCCCUGGUCCCUCAUUCUACGUCAUCUCCCUGGGGGACCACAGGUCAGCUUAUUAAAGUCACUGAGAAGUACAGAAUUAUUUUGAACUUGGUGUACCAGUUUCCCCAAGCUGCCGUAACAAAGUACCACAAACUGCGUGGUUUAGAACAGCAGAAAUGUCUUCUCUCCCGGUUCUGGAGGCUGGAAGUCCCCAGAUCAAGGUGUCAGUAGGGCUGUGCUCCCUGUGAAACCCACAGGGGAGGAUCCUUCCCGCCUCUUCCAGCUUCUGGUACUGCUGGCAUCCUUGGUGGUCUUCGGCAGCUGCAGCCCUUCAGUCUCUGCCUCGUGGUCGUCUUCUCCCUGUGUGAGCCUCUCUCCUCUUCUUAUAAGGACACCAGUCGGAUUGGAUUAAGGCCCUACCCUGCUCCAGAAUGACCUCAUCUUAAACUAAUUGCGUCAACAAGCCUAUUUCCAAAUAAGGUCACAUUCUGAGGCACUGGGGGUUGGGAUCUCCAUGCAUCUUUUGGGGACAAUUCAACCCAUAACUCUUUUGUUUAGCCCAGAAUUUCCACUGAACUUAUUUUUUUUCCUCC